AACGAACGCUGGCGGCAUGCCUAACACAUGCAAGUCGAACGAGACCUUCGGGUCUAGUGGCGCACGGGUGCGUACCGCGUGGGAACCUGCCCUUAGGUUCGGAAUACCUCCCCGAAAGGGGUGCUAAUACCGGAUAAUCUCUUCGGACCAAAGAUUUCUCGCCUUUGGAUGGGCCCGCGUUGGAUUCGCUAGUUGGUAGGGUAAAAGCCUACCAAGGCGACGAUCCAUAGCUGGUCUGAGAGGAUGAUCAGCCACACUGGGACUGAGACACGGCCCAGACUCCUACGGGAGGCAGCAGUGGGGAAUAUUGGACAAGGGGCGAAAGCCUGAUCCAGCAAUGCCGCGUGAGUGAUGAAGGCCUUAGGGUUGUAAAGCUCUUUUACCCGGGAUGAUAAUGACAGUACCGGGAGAAUAAGCUCCGGCUAACUCCGUG
rnacentral:rRNA from 1 species